AGACCCGAAACCCGGUGAUCUAGCCAUGGGCAGGUUGAAGGUUGGGUAACACUAACUGGAGGACCGAACCGACUAAUGUUGAAAAAUUAGCGGAUGACCUGUGGCUGGGGGUGAAAGGCCAAUCAAACCGGGAGAUAGCUGGUUCUCCCCGAAAGCUAUUUAGGUAGCGCCUCGUGAAUUCAUCUCCGGGGGUAGAGCACUGUUUCGGCUAGGGGGCCAUCCCGGCUUACCAACCCGAUGCAAACUGCGAAUACCGGAGAAUGUUAUCACGGGAGACACACGGCGGGUGCUAACGUCCGUCGUGAAGAGGGAAACAACCCAGACCGCCAGCUAAGGUCCCAAAGUCAUGGUUAAGUGGGAAACGAUGUGGGAAGGCCCAGACAGCCAGGAUGUUGGCUUAGAAGCAGCCAUCAUUUAAAGAAAGCGUAAUAGCUCACUGGUCGAGUCGGCCUGCGCGGAAGAUGUAACGGGGCUAAACCAUGCACCGAAGCUGCGGCAGCGACACUGUGUGUUGUUGGGUAGGGGAGCGUUCUGUAAGCCUGUGAAGGUGUGUCGUGAGGCAUGCUGGAGGUAUCAGAAGUGCGAAUGCUGACAUAAGUAACGAUAAAGCGGGUGAAAAGCCCGCUCGCCGGAAGACCAAGGGUUCCUGUCCAACGUUAAUCGGGGCAGGGUGAGUCGACCCCUAAGGCGAGGCCGAAAGGCGUAGUCGAUGGGAAACGGGUUAAUAUUCCCGUACUUGGUGUUACUGCGAAGGGGGGACGGAGAAGGCUAUGUUGGCCGGGCGACGGUUGUCCCGGUUUAAGCGUGUAGGUGUGUGUUCCAGGUAAAUCCGGUUCACUGUAACACUGAGGCGUGACGACGAGGCACUACGGUGCUGAAGCAACAAAUGCCCUGCUUCCAGGAAAAGCCUCUAAGCAUCAGGUAACAUCAAAUCGUACCCCAAACCGACACAGGUGGUCAGGUAGAGAAUACCAAGGCGCUUGAGAGAACUCGGGUGAAGGAACUAGGCAAAAUGGUGCCGUAACUUCGGGAGAAGGCACGCUGACACGUAGGUGAAGUGAUUUACUCACGGAGCUGAAGUCAGUCGAAGAUACCAGCUGGCUGCAACUGUUUAUUAAAAACACAGCACUGUGCAAACACGAAAGUGGACGUAUACGGUGUGACGCCUGCCCGGUGCCGGAAGGUUAAUUGAUGGGGUCAGCGCAAGCGAAGCUCCUGAUCGAAGCCCCGGUAAACGGCGGCCGUAACUAUAACGGUCCUAAGGUAGCGAAAUUCCUUGUCGGGUAAGUUCCGACCUGCACGAAUGGCGUAAUGAUGGCCAGGCUGUCUCCACCCGAGACUCAGUGAAAUUGAACUCGCUGUGAAGAUGCAGUGUACCCGCGGCAAGACGGAAAGACCCCGUGAACCUUUACUAUAGCUUGACACUGAACAUUGAGCCUUGAUGUGUAGGAUAGGUGGGAGGCUUUGAAGCGUGGACGCCAGUCUGCGUGGAGCCGACCUUGAAAUACCACCCUUUAAUGUUUGAUGUUCUAACGUGGACCCGUAAUCCGGGUUGCGGACAGUGUCUGGUGGGUAGUUUGACUGGGGCGGUCUCCUCCUAAAGAGUAACGGAGGAGCACGAAGGUUGGCUAAUCCUGGUCGGACAUCAGGAGGUUAGUGCAAUGGCAUAAGCCAGCUUGACUGCGAGCGUGACGGCGCGAGCAGGUGCGAAAGCAGGUCAUAGUGAUCCGGUGGUUCUGAAUGGAAGGGCCAUCGCUCAACGGAUAAAAGGUACUCCGGGGAUAACAGGCUGAUACCGCCCAAGAGUUCAUAUCGACGGCGGUGUUUGGCACCUCGAUGUCGGCUCAUCACAUCCUGGGGCUGAAGUAGGUCCCAAGGGUAUGGCUGUUCGCCAUUUAAAGUGGUACGCGAGCUGGGUUUAGAACGUCGUGAGACAGUUCGGUCCCUAUCUGCCGUGGGCGCUGGAGAACUGAGGGGGGCUGCUCCUAGUACGAGAGGACCGGAGUGGACGCAUCACUGGUGUUCGGGUUGUCAUGCCAAUGGCACUGCCCGGUAGCUAAAUGCGGAAGAGAUAAGUGCUGAAAGCAUCUAAGCACGAAACUUGCCCCGAGAUGAGUUCUCCCUGAGACUUUAGGUCUCCUGAAGGAACGUUGAAGACGACGACGUUGAUAGGCCGGGUGUGUAAGCGCAGCGAUGCGUUGAGCUAACCGGUACUAAUGAACCGUGAGGCUUAACCUUACA
rnacentral:rRNA from 1 species